rnacentral:sRNA from 1 species
UUCUUCUACUCGACCUGGGGGUCGAGUGGUCUCUUGAGAUCUUGAAGCUCCUAGUCGACCUCGGGGUCGAGUGCUUUGACAUGAUCAGGUCCGCUUCUUCCAGAUAGCUCGUCAACAGCUCCAAAUCACCUGAAAUCAACACAAAUAUGCAACAUGCAUGUAAAUCUAUCCUAAAA